UAAGCCCCUCCCACUGCUGGCACAGAUGUACAAUUAAGCACUCAGCCAGGUAACUUUGUGUUUUACCUUGUGGAACAGUUUGGGGCAAUUCUUUCCUGUCCCAGCACAAUAAUGCCCCUUACACAAAGCCAGGUCCUACAGAAUGGGUUUGCUAUGAAGGGACUGGAAGAACCGGACUGCACAGAGCCCUGACCUCAACCCAACUGAACCCCUGUGGGAUGAACUGGAACCCCGACUGUGAGCCUGAUCCCCAACAUCAGCGCCCAACCUCACUAAUGCUCUUGUGGCUGAAUGGCAGCAAAUCCCACCAACAACAUCUAGGGGGCACCUUCCUAGAGGAGUAGGGCCUGUUCCAGCAGCACGGUAAGUAGGAUUGUAAUGAAAGCUGCCAAAGGGUCCUUGUGGUGAAUGGAAACAGUAUGGUGUUGUGACUGCGAACAGAAGAAAUUAUGGGAGGAAGCUGGAAGUGGCUGUUGUGCUGUGGGGUGCGAGCGUGGCCAGACACCGUUUUUAUUGUAUCUCCAAAAUAAAGUGCCAUAAACUGUAA